rnacentral:rRNA from 1 species
UGAGACACGGCCCAGACUCCUACGGGAGGCAGCAGUGGGGAAUUUUGGACAAUGGGGGCAACCCUGAUCCAGCAAUGCCGCGUGAGUGAAGAAGGCCUUCGGGUUGUAAAGCUCUUUUGUCAGGGAAGAAACACCGGCUCUAACACAGUCCGGGAAUGACGGUAC